GUGCCAUGACACCCAGGAUGCAGCUGUAGGAACACCACUGGGUCCCUGGAUGUCAUGUAAGCCCUUAAGUAAAAGUGCCAUCAAAUGAUUUCUCAGAAAUUAUAAAGAAACAAAAGGACCAUAAACAAGAUAAGGUGGCAUGAGGAAACAUUACAAGUACCUUUCAGAGCUGACUGGCAAAGAAACUCCUGAGGUGACGGUUCUACCCCAAUAUUACUUCUUCGAAGAGCAACCUAACUGACCUUGUAUUGAAGACAGCGUAACCCCCAAGAGGAAAGGAGCUUGGAGCCCUGAAUCAGAGUAGAAGACAGGCUGAAUGAAUACCAGCCUUGGACUGUUGUGUGAAUGAAAAACAAGUUUUGAGAUUUGUGUGGUUUAUUUAUUAUAGUUACUGUUAUUAUUAAAGUUUUUCACUGCUUUACUCUCAG
rnacentral:lncRNA from 1 species